UUACCUCUGCUCUCUUCCCUCUCCCAGCUGGAUUUAAAGUGCAGUUUGCUGUCUGUAACCUGCUGACUGAAGGGAGCCGGACCUGCAUUCCAGGGGUUGGGGCUGUGCCAUACAUCACUGCAGACAUAAUUACAUCAGAGAUAGGUCUGUGCCUCAAAUGAGAUCAGUUUCCCUGUCAGGAGAUACAGAGGAUCUCCAUGCAGGUAAAGAUACAAAAUGCAGCUCCUCAAGAGGAAAAGGAGAACCCUCCCAUUCAUCCACCUUCUCUGUCCCUCUACAACAGCCAGUGCUACCAACCAAGGCAAAGGUGGUAACUGCUCUUCACAAAAACUUUUUAAGUUUUAAGAUACUCUGUCUGGAGGGUCCUUCUUCAUGCCCGCUGAAAAGCAGAGUGGGAUGGAGAGUGGGGGCCAGCAUGGAAGUGGGAGAAGUGCUGACCCUGCAGAAUGACAGGAACAUAAAGAAGGAAGGGAAGCAAUUAAAAAGUAGUUGAAAAUGGAAGGCCUGUGGGAAAAUUAGAGUGAGAAAUUGUGGGGAUUGGCUGAAAUUACAGAGAUGAGUUCAAGGCAUGGGGCAAAUUGCAGAGGAAACAGGAUUUCUUGCAGUCUUUGUGAGGGAAGGACACAGACCUGUUGGAGGGCUGCCCCCGCCCCACAGGCUGUGCCUGCCCUGCUCAGCCUGCACCAGGACUGUCUGCAGGCCCUGCCACGCCGCUGAGCACUCUGCCAUUAGUGUGCUGGAAUUCAGGAACUUGUGUUUUUUUCCCAGCCUGACACGACAGAAAUAUUAUUUUUAAUACUGUAUAAGGCAAGAGGAGACGUUACAGAGAGGGAGGGAAGGCUGGAAGGAGUCACUGCUCUCUGCUUGGAGAGAUUUGUUUUGCACUGUAUUUUCUGUCUUGAUUUAAUAGUGAGUUGGCUCUUUCCAGCAACUAGGCAGGGGAGGAGGGACUGGAAUAUGUUCCCAGUCUUUGGCCAAGAGUGUCCCAGGGCGUCCCGGGCGUGACCUCUUCAAUGUUUGUUUUUCUUUCCCUACAACUGACCCAGAUGCUGGGACUUGAGACUCGGGCCCUCCCGGCCCGUUGAACAUUUGCCCGCUGUGGUACAGCAUGUGACAGUCCCAUGAACCAGGCUGGGAACAGUACCUGGAAGUGUUUUUCUCUCCCGCAGCCUGUUUAGUCCGGUUGCGUUCCGGGAAGGCGAAAGCCGAGCGGGAAAGGCUGGGAGCGCAGUGCCACCCAGCGGGGAUGCAGGCAGGAAGGGAGCCGCGCUCCGCUGCUCCGCCUGGCCGCGGGAUGGGAGAGGAAAAGGCCUGGCAGGCACGACAGUCACCCCACACACAACAAAGGAAAGGGAAACUACGGUUUGGCCUGUUUUAUUUAGAAAACAGCCGCAGUGAAUGUUCCCCGGAAACAAAUUAGCGUUCAUUUACAUUUGCAGCCUGUGCAGUCUCUUUCUUGGGAAUGACAGCAAGGUUUGCAAACUGCGAUGGAUUUUCUUUGGUCAUGCAGAAUUGAAAAACCAACAAAGUAUCUUCAAACAAACAAACAAACAAACUGGUUCAAACUUAAUCUAAUGUGCCAAACACCGGGAGAAAAAAAGCACAGCUUUGGAAGA